UAAGCUAUGGUAUGUUGUUUAAGCAGGAAGUUUUAAGGGCGGUGGCUGUCUUUUCCCGAUGAGGUGACGUCUAUGGGAACAUGGAAGAAUCUUCAGAAAGGGUUCACAGCCUAUGAGUGUCUUUCAGGCACUGUCGCUGAUGAUUGCGUUCAGCUUAUUAGUCACAACCAUUCUCAACGACAA
rfam:Lactobacillus casei ATCC 334, complete genome.